UGCUUCUGUCUUAGCGGGAGGGUGGC
rnacentral:piRNA from 1 species